CAUGGCAAUUUAAAGGGCCUACGGCUCUGGCCACCACUGCUGCCCAUUGGUUGGCAUGGUAACAGGUGCCUAUAUAAGAGAGCCCUGAAAAUCUGAACAUCCUAUUUCUGGUGCUUCUACUAUGGCCUUGCCUUCACUGGGUUUUACCUCACGUUAACUUGAGCUGAGAACACACUUUUUUCCUCUAGCGAAAGGCCUAACAGGGCAGCUGCAGUUCUUUGGGCUCCUAACAAGAGCGGGAGGAUUGAACUUCACCUCUGAACAUGCUGGAAGUGUAUUCCUCCGAUGUCUGUAUGUGCUAAACAUCAAACCAUAGAACAGUGCACGGGAGAUCUUGCACUGAAGAAGGCCGAGAAUCACACCAGUCUCUUUCUCUGCCAGGACGGACAUUUUUAAAGGCCACAAAACAGUUAAAACCCAUGCUCCUAUGUAACAGCAGGCUCCGCUGGAAGAACUGUGAAAGAUUGGCGGGUUGUAAUGAUGUGCACUUGCUCUGUGGAAAUGCCCACCAGCCAUCUGCAGUGUCCUCUCUGCUACACAUAAGGGGGGGUGCAGCAUCACCAGGAAGAGGGAGCAUUAUUGAUGCUUUUGCCUCGGGGAGGGAAGCCGAUAAUGGAUGUGGGAUAUAGGCCGUGCUUUGUCAUCAAACGAGGGGCCUGAAAGAUGGUGCACUGGAAUAUUAUCAGUCAUUCCUUGAUCAAGAUGUAAUACUAUCAAGGUCCUUUCUCUCUCUCUCUCUCUCUCUCUCUCUCUCUGCACUGCUGAGUGCUUUCAUAUUGGAGGCUGCUGUAGACUUUGACCUUUUGGAGCUAGGAUGCUAGGUCCUCCAAUUCACUCCCUCUUUUAAGCAAUGACCCCCCCCCUCCCCCAAAUCUGAAAGCGAUGAUGUGAACUUCAUUUGAUCGCACAUUCCUGGUCUAUAAGGACUCAUCUUGAAAAGAUCAUAAUAAAACACAACCCUCGGACUUCCUCCACACACAAGACUCCUAUCCUCUCUGCAGCUUUAUUUAUUAUGCGUGUGCAUGCACGUGCGUAAAUGUUAUCUGUACAGUGCUGUUGGCAGGCAAAUAAAAAGGGCAGUCUUUGCCUAGAGAUUGCCAUAGCACAGCCAGAGAGUGCAAUCAUGGAGUUUUAUCACUUCUCACCUGUAUUUAGGCAGAUCAAAUAAUUACAUUUUUACAGCACUGGGUAAUGGCGUGAUGCUGCCAAAUGAGACCUCCCUCCCAGGGAGCUUAAGCGGCAUAUUAGCUUUAUCACUAGAUGACCCAUAAAAUGGUUG